rnacentral:rRNA from 1 species
UACGUAGGGUGCGAGCGUUAAUCGGAAUUACUGGGCGUAAAGCGUGCGUAGGCGGUUCGCUGUGUCCGAUGUGAAAGCUCGGAGCUCAACUCCGAAAUGGCAUUGGAAACUACCUUGCUCGAGGGUUGGAGGGGGGACUGGAAUUCUCGGUGUAGCAGUGAAAUGCGUAGAUAUCGAGAGGAACACCAGUGGCGAAGGCGAGUCCCUGGACAACUCCUGACACUGAGGCACGAAAGCUAGGGGAGCAAACAGG